CUGCAGUGCAUCUUGGGAAGCAAAAUUUUUUUCUUUGGUCAGGCUGCUAGAAGGAGAUACAAAACCAGAAGACAUUUCCAGUGAGAUGGUACCAUGUGCCGCUAUGUGUAACAAAGCCCUUGAGAAGUGCUUGGAGCCAGACUGACAGGUUGUGAGAAGGUGCUACAUAGUACAAAAGAAGGAAAGAAGAGCUUCCCCAGUAAAGUGCUCAGUGAUCCUUAAAGUGCUCAGUGAUCCUGUCUUGAAAAUUCCUCUCCAAGAGGUGUAAUUUACAAAACCAUGGAAGUCCAUUGUGUGAACCUUUAAACCAACGGCACAAAACAGGUUCCAUGUGUGCAAGCAUAAAAGGUAAGUGAAAAACAGAAGUCAGCACUUUGACAUAAUUAGUAAGCUGAAACAGCUGGAAUGUGAAGGGCAUUUAAACCUUCCUGUGAAAGGUCAGG
rnacentral:lncRNA from 1 species